AAUAUUUUUGCAACAGUAAUCGACUUUCUAGAUAGUUGGUCUUCAGUUUUGCCUGAGCAAGCAAUGACUUGAAGUUACCAUCUGUCGAAUCAUGGCGGAGCAUCUUUUAGCCAUGCUGGAACGCGUGAUUGACCGUCUUUUCUGAUUCCUAGUGCAUAUGAAAUAGGCCUCUAGAUCCCAAGCCUUACUAUAUAGGGCCGUCGUGCAGGCCGGAAAGCAUUUCCGUGACACUAGCCCAAAAUGGAAAGAGACAAGUCCAUUAUAGGCGAUUGUUAUUGAUGAGGGUAUUGUAAGUUGUAGAGUAGCCUUGUUACUACAAUCAACUGAGAUUUAGCCAAUUGUUCUAUUU
rfam:Lobosporangium transversale strain NRRL 3116 BCR41scaffold_3, whole genome shotgun sequence.